UGGGGAAUAUUGGACAAUGGGCGAAAGCCUGAUCCAGCCAUGCCGCGUGUGUGAAGAAGGUCUUCGGAUUGUAAAGCACUUUAAGUUGGGAGGAAGGGCAGUAAGCGAAUACCUUGCUGUUUUGACGUUACCGACAGAAUAAGCACCGGCUAACUCUGUGCCAGCAGCCGCGGUAAUACAGAGGGUGCAAGCGUUAAUCGGAAUUACUGGGCGUAAAGCGCGCGUAGGUGGUUCGUUAAGUUGAAUGUGAAAGCCCCGGGCUCAACCUGGGAACUGCAUCCAAAACUGGCGAGCUAGUGUAGGGCAGAGGCUGGUGGAAUUUCCUGUGUAGCCGUGAAAUGCGUAGAUAUAGGAAGGAACACCAGUGGCGAAGGCGACCACCUGGGCUCAUCCUGACACUGAGGUGCGAAAGCGUGGGGAGCAAACAGG
rnacentral:rRNA from 1 species